rfam:Capsicum annuum cultivar Zunla-1 chromosome 6, whole genome shotgun sequence
CUUCAUGGUUCAGGCAUUGCAUAAUUUUUUUAUUUAACCUUUCCCACUCCUCAUAUAAGGGUUCACCACUAAGUUGACAAAAAUUUAUGAUUUCAUCUCUUAGUUG